CCUGCUCAAUGAAAAUUUAAAUAGCCGCAGAAAUCUCUGUGCUAAGGUAGCAUAAUCAUUUGCUUUUUAAUUAAAAGCUAGUAUGAAAGGUUCAACGUUUUAAUUUCUUUAUUAUUAAUACUACUUAAAUUUAUCCUAAAUAUAAAAAGAUAUUUAUAUAAUAAAUAGACGACAAGACCCUAUUGAACUUAACUAUAAGUUUAGCUGGGGCAGCUAAUUAAUAAAAAUUUUAAUUAAUUUUAUUUUUAAAUUUAUCCAAUAUAAUGAAUAUCUUAUCAAGUUACCAUAGGGAUAACAGCGUAAUAUUAAUUUAAAGUUCAUAUUAAAAUUAAUGUUUACGACCUCGAUGUUGAAUUAUAAUUCUUUAUUAAUGCAGUAAUUAUAAAAGUGAGUCUGUUCGACUCUUAAUAUUUUACA
rnacentral:rRNA from 1 species